rnacentral:lncRNA from 1 species
UUUUCGUCCAUUUUCUUUCCCUUUUUUUCGGCUAAUUUGUUUCUAAUUUUCACAAAAUCUUCCAUUUUGUUUCCUUAAUUUUUGAAGACUUUGUUUCCUUAUUUUUAUGUUUUUAUUUCAGAAAAUUUUAUAAAUUAUAUAAUUCGAAUAUAUUUUUUUUUCGGUUUUGUUAUUGAUUUAUUUGUUUUUAAAUUUUAUUAUUGAUUUGUUACCAAUAAUUUAGUGUUUCUUGUUAUAAUAAUUCUAGAUUUGUUUCCGAAU